rnacentral:rRNA from 1 species
UACGUAGGGGGCAAGCGUUGUCCGGAAUCAUUGGGCGUAAAGAGCGUGUAGGCGGCCCGAUAAGUCCGCUGUGAAAGUCCAGGGCUCAACCCUGGAAUGCCGGUGGAUACUGUCGGGCUCGAAUCCGGAAGAGGUGAGUGGAAUUCCCGGUGUAGCGGUGAAAUGUGUAGAGAUCGGGAGGAACACCGGUGGCGAAGGCGGGUCUCUGGGCAAUUCCUGACGCUGAGGCGCGAAGGCUAGGGGAGCAAACGGG